GCCAGUAUGGCGAAAUGGUAUGAAUGUUGGACUACAACUCUGGAGACCAGGGUUCAAUUCCCAGCUCAGCCA